GCCCCUUUGGGGACCUCCGAUAAAAUUGAAAUGGUAUAGAGAAAAUUAGCAUGGCCCGUAAGGAUGACACGCACAAAUCGAUAAAUGACUUAAAUAUAAUUUUUUU